rnacentral:rRNA from 1 species
UGGGGAAUUUUGGACAAUGGGCGAAAGCCUGAUCCAGCAAUGCCGCGUGUGUGAAGAAGGCCUUCGGGUUGUAAAGCACUUUUGUCCGGAAAGAAAUCCUUGGCUCUAAUACAGUCGGGGGAUGACGGUACCGGAAGAAUAAGCACCGGCUAACUACGUGCCAGCAGCCGCGGUAAUACGUAGGGUGCAAGCGUUAAUCGGAAUUACUGGGCGUAAAGCGUGCGCAGGCGGUUUGCUAAGACCGAUGUGAAAUCCCCGGGCUCAACCUGGGAACUGCAUUGGUGACUGGCAGGCUAGAGUAUGGCAGGAGGGGGGUAGAAUUCCACGUGUAGCAGUGAAAUGCGUAGAGAUGUGGAGGAAUACCGAUGGCGAAGGCAGCCCCCUGGGCCAAUACUGACGCUCAUGCACGAAAGCGUGGGGGAGCAAAACAGGAUUAGAUACCCUGGUAGUCCACGCCCUAAAACGAUGUCAACUAGUUGUUGGGGAUUCAUUUCCUUAGUAACGUAGCUAACGCGUGAAGUUGACCGCCUGGGGAGUACGGUCGCAAGAUUAAAACUCAAAGGAAUUGACGGGGUCAUAGCUGUUUCCU